CCAGUGUCAAAAAGGCAGUGUCAAACUAUUUUAAUUCUUCCGGAGUUCUUCCAACAAUGGACAGAGUAAAAUUGAACCAGAAAACUUCCAGUGUUGGUGAAAAUAAUCGGAGUUAACAGAGGUUUUACUCUGUCAGUGUUAUUGACUCUCUCAGGCCCUGAUUCAACACUGAUUAGAGCAAGAUACCUUCCAGAGUAUCACAAAAAAUACUCUGGAAAGCCCCGCCCACCAACUUUCCCGGUCAAACUGAGAAUGUGGAUUCUGGCAUCGCCAUCUUCCUCGCAUCGAAAUACUGUGGUAAGUCUUUCUACUAUAAACUAUUCCCGUUGUUUUUCUUCAUUCCAGUAGAAUCUGUAUAAGAAUAAAGGGACGUAUUCAUUCACCACACUAGUCAAUGUUGGGUACGUGUCUUCAAAUACCGAAUUUCAAAUGGCUAACGUGAUAUCGGGUCGGCGGUUAGCUUAAAUGUAGCAGCCACAUGUCUGAACUCGCAACACCAAACUGAACAAAAACGACACGAGGUAACGUUAAUGUCAGCGAGGACGAGCUGUCGUGGUGUGUUAUGUGUCAUGCUUGCACAUUUAUUUCAGUAAAAUGACGACAAAAAUUUGUUCAAGCAGUCAUAUUUAUUAUUUCUAUUUGAGCCGGAGCAAAUCGCUUUAGCGUCACGUCACAAUUUGGUCGAGCAUAGCGGGACAUGUCGCGGACAUGCGGACGUGCUCAUAGGACCCGCUAGUUCACCGGCAGACUGCGGAAUGCACCGAGUCGACCCAGUUAACGUGAACGGAGCCGCGGCUCCGAGAGGCUCGGUUCCCGUUAGCUGCUGCUGUAGCCAUAGACAUAUAAAGAGUAGACGCUGCAUUGGCUGCUGAGGCGCAAACAAAUAUUUUUUUAUUAUAUUAUAUACCAGAAUAUUAUUACUGUUACGCCUACUAUGAAUAUUAAAAUACGCCGAAUCAUGUUUUCGGUGUCAUGCCUACAAAAUCCCGUGAACAUCCGCUUUUGUAUUCAGCGAGUGACGCGCUGACACUUCGUUGCGCCAGCUGGCACAGAGUGGAGCGGGUGACCGGUCCAAGCUGGCGGCCCCGCGGCUCGUCAGCACCACUAGGCAGCAGCGGUCGAUGUCUAUUCUUUAUGUCUAUGGCUGUAGCUGCUGUAAGCUUAAUUUAUGCUUCCACGUUACGGCGGCGGCGUAACCCCGUCAUUGAGCAAGUUCUCCGUUGCUCUGCAGUUCCCCCCCAUGCCGCUAGGCGGGUGUGGCUGUGUGUUUCUGCGGGUGCCGAAUCCUUGGUGAGCCGAAUCUCAUAUUGAAGCGCAGGCUACGGAGAAGACGUGAAUUUACAACACUGGUUCACCCACUGAGGGACCUGGACGAGCAAGUGCACUUUCGAUACUUUCAAAUGUCAGCAACUGCCGCAAAUUACGUUCUGAGCGGACCAAUCACAGCACUUGCGGUCCACGUCAACUCGACUCGCAGUUAGAUUUUUUCGGAGGUGCACGUCAGGCUACGGCGGAGGGGUCUACGUAGUUACUUAUUAUGUAUAUUUUCCUUUUUUCUUUCAGGUUGUUCUUUAAUGUACUGUGGUGCUCUGGUGAUACCAUCAUGUUGAUCAAAACAUUCCUGUCAUCCAGCACCAACCAAGAUCUUUGCCACUGUGAUAAGAUGUGAGCUUUACAUGUUUUAGGUUUACUUUUGAUGCCAAUAUUUCAUGUUUACUUGGAAUAAAU
ensembl:lncRNA